rnacentral:rRNA from 1 species
AUUGAACGCUGGCGGCAUGCUUUACACAUGCAAGUCGAACGGCAGCGCGGGCUUCGGCCUGGCGGCGAGUGGCGAACGGGUGAGUAAUGCAUCGGAACGUGCCCAGUAGUGGGGGAUAGCCCGGCGAAAGCCGGAUUAAUACCGCAUACGACCUGAGGGUGAAAGCGGGGGACCGAAAGGCCUCGCGCUAUUGGAUCGGCCGAUGUCGGAUUAGCUAGUUGGUGGGGUAAAGGCUUACCAAGGCGACGAUCCGUAGCUGGUCUGAGAGGACGACCAGCCACACUGGGACUGAGACACGGCCCAGACUCCUACGGGAGGCAGCAGUGGGGAAUUUUGGACAAUGGGGGCAACCCUGAUCCAGCCAUGCCGCGUGCGGGAAGAAGGCCUUCGGGUUGUAAACCGCUUUUGUUCGGGAAGAAAUCCUGUGGGCUAAUACCCCGGGGGGAUGACGGUACCGGAAGAAUAAGCACCGGCUAACUACGUG